rnacentral:rRNA from 1 species
ACGCUCGACACCUACGGGAGGCAGCAGUGGGGAAUAUUGCACAAUGGGGGAAACCCUGAUGCAGCGACGCCGCGUGAGUGAAGAAGUAUUUCGGUAUGUAAAGCUCUAUCAGCAGGGAAGAAAAUGACGGUACCUGACUAAGAAGCCCCGGCUAACUACGUGCAAGCAGCCGCGGUAAUCUGAGCGGGCUGGCAAGGC